UACGUAGGGAGCAAGCGUUGUUCGGAUUUACUGGGCGUAAAGGGCGCGUAGGCGGCGCGGUAAGUCACUUGUGAAAUCUCUGAGCUUAACUCAGAACGGCCAAGUGAUACUGCAGUGCUAGAGUGCAGAAAGGGCAAUCGGAAUUCUUGGUGUAGCGGUGAAAUGCGUAGAUAUCAAGAGGAACACCUGAGGCGAAGGCGGGUCUCUGGGCCGAUACUGACGCUGAGGAGCGAAAGCGUGGGGAGCAAACAGG
rnacentral:rRNA from 1 species